GAAAUGCGAUAAGUAGUGUGAAUUGCAGAAUUCAGUGAAUCAUCGAAUCUUUGAACGCACAUUGCGCCCUUUGGUAUUCCUUAGGGCAUGCCUGUUCGAGCGUCAUUUCAACCCUCAAGCGCAGCUUGGUGUUGGGCGCCCGUCCCGCCCCACCCGGGGCGCGGACCCGCCUCAAAUGCAUUGGCGGCCGGCACCCUGGCUUCGAGACGCAGCAGAAACGCGGACUCGGAGCCUCGGGGCCGAUCCCCCAGAAGCCACAUCACUACGGUUGACCUCGGAUCAGGUAGGGAUACCCGCUGAACUUAAGC
rnacentral:misc_RNA from 1 species